rnacentral:lncRNA from 1 species
CCAGGGUGGUGCUGUGUGGCCGCAAACAACCCUAAGUAGGGGAUACGUGUGGGGGACAGGCUCUAACACCUUGAUUCCUUAUGUCUGUGUCUCUGCAGUAUGUUUCAUGGAGAGUCUGAGUGACAGCAACCAUGAUGAAAGUGAUACAGGUAAGAACAGCUCUCAGGUAGGAGCCAAUGGGAGAGGGAUCCCGGGACACUUGGGUGACGCCUGCUGCUUGGAGUGUGGGGCAGGUGAGUCUGAAACUUAAAAACAGAAAGAAAUUGAUGUAAAGAUGUUCACCGCCUACUUUAAUAAGGAGAGGGAGCAGAUAUGAGAUGCCUGAAUGUUGGCAUCUGUGCUCACCUUGUGUGGAAGGGUCUCAGUCCAUGGAGCAGAGGGAAGGUCUGGGCACCUGGAGGAAAAACCAGGGUGAUGCUCUGUACCCGUAGUCACCUCAGGGAAGCCGGAGAAACGGGAGGGCCACUCUUUCUAACUCCUUGAUUCCCCUGAUGGUGUGUUUCUACAGACUCAGUGGUGGAGAGCCUGAGCAGCCGCCAGGAUGAGGAGGCUGCAGCAACCCUCGAUGAUGUUGUGGAGGCCGGCGGGAGUGAGAAGACGGAGGAAGAGGCCCUGGCUGGGGCAAAUGAGGAGGAGGUGGGGCCGGGAACUGAGAAGGUGCAGGAGGAGGCUGCCUGCAUUGACGAGGCAGAGGAGGAGGCAGGCCCAUCCCUUGAAAAUGACGAGGAGUCCCCAGCCAGCGACCUGGUUGAGCAGGAAGACCAGCUUGCCCCCAAGGUGGACGGGAUGGACGAUGAAAGCCGUAAGUAUUCUGGAACCCGGCUCUGCUGAGGAGAAGUCCAGGUGUUGAGGAAGGGCGGGGGGUGCUUUCCUGCCCCUUUGGUUGCAGAGACACCCUGAUUCUGGGUUCCUCCUGGGAAAGGGGGUGAAGGAUGGGGUGAAAGAGACUGACUUCCCACAAAAGGGCCAUCCCAAGUCCUCGGGUCCCUGGAGGAAAGGAGGCUCUUUGUAUGGUGGGGGUAGGUGUCCGGGAACAUUGGGGGGUGUGCGUGUGAGGGCCUGUUGGUGUGAUUGUGAACCAGUGUGAGUGGGUGUGUUUUGUGGGGAGUCACUUGUGCCUUAGCACCACAUAGCUGUCCAGUUUCUCGUUGAACAGUCUCAUGAUGACCGCAGGCUAACUGUCCAUUCCCUCAUUCUCCCUGCACCCGCUGGGAGCAAGGUUUGGGGAAAAGGCUUUCCUUCCUCUGUUGGUCUUUCGUUUCCUCUUUUCUUCCCCCUCUGCUUGGUGCAGACUUUCAUGCUGUUGUUUCAAACAUGUGCCAUGAACUCGAGCCUCUUGAGGUUGUAAGUGUCCCGAGGAGUGUUGUGAACGCUGUGCUCCCCCCGCACCUCCUGCCCACUCGGGGCAGCCACCCUUCCAG